GAUGAACGCUGACGGCAGGCCUAACACAUGCAAGUCGAGCGGCAGCACAAGUGAGUUUACUCAUGAGGUGGCGAGCGGCGGACGGGUGAGUAAUGCCUAGGGAUCUGCCCAGUCGAGGGGGAUAACAGUUGGAAACGACUGCUAAUACCGCAUACGCCCUACGGGGGAAAGGAGGGGACCUUCGGGCCUUCCGCGAUUGGAUGAACCUAGGUGGGAUUAGCUAGUUGGUGAGGUAAUGGCUCACCAAGGCGACGAUCCCUAGCUGUUCUGAGAGGAUGAUCAGCCACACUGGGACUGAGACACGGCCCAGACUCCUACGGGAGGCAGCAGUGGGAAUAUUGCACAAUGGGGAAACCCUGAUGCAGCCAUGCCGCGUGUGUGAAGAAGGCCUUCGGGUUGUAAAGCACUUUCAGUAGGGAGGAAAGGGUAAGUCCGUAAUACGGGCUUAUCUGUGACGUUACCUAC
rnacentral:rRNA from 1 species